AAUUAUUGAAGGGCCGCGGUAUUUUGACCGUGCAAAGGUAGCAUAAUCAUUAGUCUUUUAAUUGGGGGCUGGAAUGAAGGGCUGCACGAGGUAUAGACUGUCUUAUUUAAAUUGUUGUUAGAAUUUAAUUUUUAAGUUAAAAAGCUUAAAUUUUUUUAAAGGACGAGAAGACCCUAUAGAACUUUAUAUAAAUUUAAUGUAGGUGGCUUUUGGAUUGUUUUUAUACUUAUUUUUAUUUAUAUUUUGUUGGGGUGAUAGGAAAAUAAUAUUAACUUUUUUUAUUGGUUUACAUUAAUUUAUGGUUAUUUGAUCCAUUUUUAGUGAUUAUAAGAUUAAGUUACCUUAGGGAUAACAGCGUAAUUUUCCUUUAGAGUUCUUAUCGACGGGAAAGCUUGCGACCUCGAUGUUGGAUUAAGAUUAAUUUUUGGUGUAGAAGCUGAAAUAUUAGG
rnacentral:rRNA from 1 species